GACGGAGGAUGCAAGUGUUAUCCGGAAUCACUGGGCGUAAAGCGUCUGUAGGUGGUUCGAAAAGUCCACUGUUAAAAAUUGAGGCUUAACUUCAAAGAUGCCGUGGAAACUUUCAAACUAGAGAAUGGUAGGGGUAGAGGGAAUUUCCAGUGGAGCGGUGAAAUGCGUAGAUAUUGGAAAGACCACCGAUGGCGAAGGCACUCUACUGGGCCAUUACUGACACUGAGAGACGAAAGCUAGGGGAGCAAAUGGG
rnacentral:rRNA from 1 species